CGGGUUAUCCGGUCGCUGAAGACUACACGUUUCUUGGUUUAAAAAAACCUUAAAACUGGUUAGAGGAGAAAGAGUUAGAGAGCCAUGAGUAGGAAAACCUCAUAAUACGGAAUAUUGCAUACUAGAAUACUACAACUUGAGUUAUGAUCAUAAGUCAUGUCAUUUUCAUUUACACGUUGGCUUGUCUUUAUUGAAAGUAAAAAAUAUGUAAUGUUACAAAAUAAACCGAAAGUUAAGGAGAUAUUGAAGAAAAUAAGGAAAACAGAAAGAAAGACGCUUUCGUUACUCUCUGAAAAGGAGGUGAUAUCUUCAUCUUUGUUUGUGACAUUUCUCCUUUUCCCUCUUCUCCAUCAGUGGUUAAUUAUUUGCACCUAAUUGAUUUCCUUUACUUUGUUCACAAGUCGCAAUUCUUUUCAUUUUUUUUUAUCAAGAAGCAAUUCUUUUCAUUUAUAAUUUGAUAGUUCUACGUAGAUAUCAUGACAUUUACGU
rnacentral:lncRNA from 1 species